CCUACGGGUGGCAGCAGUGAGGAAUAUUGGUCAAUGGGCGGAAGCCUGAACCAGCCAAGUCGCGUGAGGGAAGAAGGCCCUACGGGUCGUAAACCUCUUUUGCCGGGGAGCAAGGGCCGGGACGCGUGCCGGCCCGGAGAGUACCCGGAGAAAAAGCAUCGGCUAACUCCGUGCCAGCAGCCGGGGGAGUACGGAGGAUCCGAGGGUUAUCCGGAUUUAUUGGGUUUAAAGGGUGGGUAGGCGGGGUUUUAAGUCAGCGGUAAAAAUUGGGGGCUCAAACCCGUCCGGCCGUUGAAACUGGGGGCCUUGAGUGGGCGAGAAGAAGGCGGAAUGCGUGGUGUAGCGGUGAAAUGCAUAGAUAGCACGAAGAACCCCGAUUGCGAAGGCAGCCUUCCGGCGCCCUACUGACGCUGAGGCACGAAAGUGCGGGGAUCGAACAGGAUUAGAUACCCUAGUAGUC
rnacentral:rRNA from 1 species